UGCCCUGCAGGGCAGGACAGUAAAUGAAUUGAACCUUGCCAGGAGGGGACGACGGCUGAUUCCCGGGGGUCACCUUAUACUCGGUGUGGGCGCAGCUCGAGUUGCGGCUCCAACAAGAGCAGAAAUGUAGAGCUAGAGGUGGGUCCAUCAGCAGGCCACCAUCAGUCCCCUGUGCAACAUGUGCAGUGAGAAACAACUGGUGUAUAGCACAGUGUGUACCUCAGAACCUCAGGUGGGAAGCGGGACAGAAAGCUGGAGGCCGAGUGAGGAGACCCAGAUCCCGGGCCUCCACCCCAAAGGCCCAUGCAAUUUGGCUCACACCCCACCCUGCACACCCACUGCUACCACACUGCUGAGGCACAGUGAGGCUUCCACACCAGUGUGGUGCCAGGCCUCUGAAGGGUGGGCUGUGCCUCCUGCACCCACGAGUCUGCUGACAUCACCCCAGCAACCUGUGGCGCUCCCCACAUCCCAGCCAUCGAAGGACGGAGCAGGGUUAAGGAUCAGCACCAAUGCAUCCCAACGUCCCUUAAGGGCAGUUUUCUGCAGCAAAGGACAUGGGAAAUGUGAGAGCCACAGUAGAGGCAGCUCAGUUACAACUGGUUUUUGCAAGAGGAUGCAGAGGGUUAGUGAGUGUGUUCUUCCCCUCGUCUUGCAUGUGCUAGAGGGAGUGGGAACAUUCACCUUGUUGUCCAGUGACUCAGGGCCAGUUUUCCUUAGAUAGCUCUAUGGGCUGGGGAGCACUGUAUAGCUCAGAUUUAGCACUUCAAAGC
rnacentral:lncRNA from 1 species